GAUGAACGCUGGCGGCGUGCCUAAUACAUGCAAGUCGAGCGAACAGACGAGGAGCUUGCUCCUCUGACGUUAGCGGCGGACGGGUGAGUAACACGUGGAUAACCUACCUAUAAGACUGGGAUAACUUCGGGAAACCGGAGCUAAUACCGGAUAAUAUAUUGCACCGCAUGGUUCAAUAGUGAAAGACGGUUUUGCUGUCACUUAUAGAUGGAUCCGCGCCGCAUUAGCUAGUUGGUAAGGUAACGGCUUACCAAGGCAACGAUGCGUAGCCGACCGGAGAGGGUGAUCGGCCACACUGGAACUGAGACACGGUCCAGACUCCUACGGGAGGCAGCAGUAGGGAAUCUGCCGCAAAGGGCGAAAGCCUGACGGAGCAACGCCGCGUGAGUGAUGAAGGUCUUCGGAUCGUAAAACUCUGUUAUUAGGGAAGAACAAAUGUGUAAGUAACUAUGCACGUCUUGACGGUACCUAAUCAGAAAGCCACGGCUAACUACGUG
rnacentral:rRNA from 1 species